GAGAAGCCGCCAUGUUCGGAGCCACCAUAAAAAGGUACAGAUUCACUGCAGAGAUCUGCCUUGCCCUCCUUCGGCUGGCGAGUGACAGCAAACGGGCAGGAAAAGUCUCUCGUGAAUCGCAAAUACGUUGGGCAUCGGAACAAAGGAUCUCCGAUCAGCGCUGUGCAAGUUGAGCUGGUCAGGGCCACAUCCUGGAUCCAUGAGCCGAGAAAACAGGUCACCGUGACAACUGUGCGUGUGAACGAGAACCUGCUGAGGAUACAGUAAAAAUGAACGAGGGACCCCUGUGCUAAGACCGAGCGCAGGAAGAGGCGAGAGGGGUUAGGAAUGAACGACUCGGCGU